UCUAAUCCACGGUUGUCCCCGAGCACCCUCCUCUUCCUCUUCACCCAGAGACCGACAUCCAUCACUAGGAGUCUAUGAAGAGUCGAAAGGGACUCUCCCGGAAUAACCUUGCAGUCCUUGCACAUGCCCCUAUCGCUCCUCCUGAGGAGGAGGUAAUCAAUCUGAGUCCUUGCCGCGGAACUCUUGAAGGUGACCAAAU
rnacentral:lncRNA from 1 species